rnacentral:rRNA from 1 species
UACGAAGGGGGCUAGCGUUGCUCGGAAUGACUGGGCGUAAAGGGCGCGUAGGCGGAUGGCACAGUCAGAUGUGAAAUUCCCGGGCUUAACCUGGGGGCUGCAUUUGAUAUGUGUUGUCUAGAGUGAGGAAGAGGGUAGUGGAAUUCCCGGUGUAGCGGUGAAAUGCGUAGAGAUCGGGAGGAACACCAGUGGCGAAGGCGGCUACCUGGACCAGCACUGACACUGAGGCACGAAA